rnacentral:rRNA from 1 species
GACGAACGCUGGCGGCGUGCCUAAUACAUGCAAGUUGAGCGCUGAAGGUUGGUACUUGUACCAACUGGAUGAGCAGCGAACGGGUGAGUAACGCGUGGGGAAUCUGCCUUUGAGCGGGGGACAACAUUUGGAAACGAAUGCUAAUACCGCAUAAAAACUUUAAACACAAGGUUUAAGAUUGAAAGAUGCAAUUGCAUCACCCAAAGAUUAUCCCGCGUUGUAUUAGCUAGUUGGUGAGGUAAAGGCUCACCAAGGCGAUGAUACAAUGCCGACCUGGAAGGGUGAUCGGCCACAUUGGGACUUAGACACGGCCCAAACUCCUACGGGAGGCAGCAGUAGGGAAUCUUCGGCAAUGGACGAAAGUCUGACCGAGCAACGCCGCGUGAGUGAAGAAGGGUUUCGGAUCGUAAAACUCUGUUGGUAGAGAAGGACGUUAGUGAUAGUGGAAAGCUCAUCAAUUGACGGUAACUACCCAGAAAGGGACGGCUAACUACGUG